CCUUGGGUUCGAUUCCGGAGAGCGGUGGGCACCAAUUUGACUCAACACNCGUGGGUUCGAUUCCGGAGAGCGGUGGGAAUUUGACUCAACACGCAAUUCGACUCAACACGCAAUUCGACUCAACACGCAAUUUGACUCAACACGCGAUUUGACUCAACACGCAAUUUGACUCAACACGCAUGGGUUCGAUUCCGGAGAGCGGUGGGCACCAAUUUGACUCAACACGCAUGGGUUCGAUUCCGGAGAGCGGUGGGCACCAAUUUGACUCAACACGCAAUUCGACUCAACACGCAAUUUGACUCAACACGCAAUUUGACUCAACACGCAAUUUGACUCAACACGCAAUUUGACUCAACACGCAUGGGUUCGAUUCCGGAGAGCGGUGGGCACCAAUUUGACUCAACACGCAUGGGUUCGAUUCCGGAGAGCGGUGGGCACCAAUUUGACUCAACACGCAAUUUGACUCAACACGCAAUUUGACUCAACACGCAAUUUGACUCAACACGCAAUUUGACUCAACACGCAAUUUGACUCAACACG
rnacentral:rRNA from 1 species